rnacentral:lncRNA from 1 species
GCCUCGUCCUCCCAAAGUGCUGGGAUUACAUGUGUGAGCCACCGCGACCAGCCCUGGUGCCCUUUUAAGAACAGGAAGAGGGAGAGAGCGAUCUUGCUCUAGCAACACACGAGAAGAGGCAACACAUUACCAUGUUAAAUUGAUGAUGAAGCAAUGAAGAAAUGAAUGCCUGAAUGAUGUCCUGGAGAGAAGUUUAUGCAUUCCAGGGUGUCAAAAAUAAUGCCAUCAGGAUAAACAUUUUAAAAGAAGUAUUUGGCAGUAUCUGAAGUUAGAAUAUGAAACAGUAUCUAAGAGAGAUGUGUGAAACUCACUUCCUGUUCUCGGUUAGAAGCACCUGCACACCUUAGUCAACCCAGUUA